GAUGAACGCUGACAGAAUGCUUAACACAUGCAAGUCAACUUGAACUUCGGUUUGGGUGGCGGACGGGUGAGUAACGCGUAAAGAACUUGCCUCACAGUUAGGGACAACAUUUGGAAACGAAUGCUAAUACCUGAUAUUAUGAUUUUAGGGCAUCCUAGAAUUAUGAAAGCUAUAUGCGCUGUGAGAGAGCUUUGCGUCCCAUUAGCUAGUUGGAGAGGUAACGGCUCACCAAGGCGAUGAUGGGUAGCCGGCCUGAGAGGGUGAACGGCCACAAGGGGACUGAGACACGGCCCUUACUCCUACGGGAGGCAGCAGUGGGGAAUAUUGGACAAUGGGCCAAGAGUCUGAUCCAGCAAUUCUGUGUGCACGAUGAAGUUUUUCGGAAUGUAAAGUGCUUUCAGUUGGGAAGAAAAAAAUGACGAUACCAACAGAAGAAGUGACGGCUAAAUACGUG
rnacentral:rRNA from 1 species